UGGAAACAGCGCCAUCUGCCCGCUGGUGAAUUGAAUGCAACACUGCUUCCCAAAGAGAGUUUGAGGUUUAUAGCUGCCAUCCGCUCAUGCUGUUUUAUCAUCCAACCAACCCAAACUAUGACCUACAGGAGGAUGAUCUGAACGAUGACGUACUAACAGUCAUCAUGGAUACACACUGUUUGGACUCUCAUUCUGACGGCACCCAUUCACAUCCAUUGGUGAACAAGUGAUGGAAUGCUACAUUCUCCAAAUUUGAAGAAGAAACAAACUCAUCUACAUCUCGGAUGGCCUGAGGCCCACUGGACUUAAUUAAUGAAGGGUUUGAGGAAGAUGAAGUUCAAAGCAGCGACGUCACGCCACUAUCACACAGAAUCUCAGGAGCCCGUUUGAUGUGUAUGCCGGCUCUUCACCUCGUCUCCCGCCGGACUCUAUUUUUGUUCUCAGAAACUCAUCCGCCGCUCCGAGUGCUCCAGCUGCGGUCCUGUGGGAAGGAUCCUUUUGAUUCCUCAUGAUCCCUUCAACCUCCUCCGCAGGCGGUCUGUAAACUCCGUUCAUGUCGCUGCCUCCUCGUGACAAAUGGCAAAGCAUCGGGCCGCAGGAAAGCGCAGAUGAAAGCCGCAGGCCUCGAAAAGCGGUCAAUAUCAGACCUCUGAAUAUUCUUCAAACAGCAUCUGAUCUCAUAUUCAGCAGGUGAAUAUAGAGGAACGGUCCUGAUAGUGUUCGAAAAUGCAUCUGGAGAUUAUUUUUUAUAUUUAAUAAAGCUAAAUUGAAAAAUUUAAUGCAUAAAAUUCAUAGAAUUCAACAUGUUUUGAAAUGUAAGUUGACAGUGACAGCAGAGUGAGAGAAAAUGAUGUGAUAAAUUCACAAAUGGCACUUUUUAAAAGACAUUUUGCCAUAAAAUUAUUAUUUAUACUUGUAUUCACAUUUGAAUAUAUGCGCAAGA